UACGUAGGGUGCGAGCGUUGCCCGGAUUUAUUGGGCGUAAAGGGCGCGUAGGCGGCUCGGCACGUCCGUUGUGAAAUCGCCCGGCUCAACUGGGCGGGGUCAGCGGAUACGGUCGAGCUUGAGCAAGCUAGGGGGUAAUGGAAUUCCCGGUGUAGUGGUGGAAUGCGUAGAUAUCGGGAGGAACACCAGUGGCGAAGGCGAAUCCCUGGAAAAUACCUGACACUGAAGCACGAAAGCGAGGGGAGCAAACAGG
rnacentral:rRNA from 1 species